UUUUAUGAAUGAAAUUUAGAGUUGUCAUAACAGAAAAAUUUGGAAUUUGGUAUUGUUGUGGCGAAUAUUUUCGUACAUUUUCACAUUUCAAAAACUUUGG